GACGAACGCUGGCGGCGUGCUUAACACAUGCAAGUCGAACGGAAAGGCCCUGCUUUUGUGGGGUGCUCGAGUGGCGAACGGGUGAGUAACACGUGAGUAACCUGCCCUUGACUUUGGGAUAACUUCAGGAAACUGGUGCUAAUACCGGAUAGGAGCUCCUGCUGCAUGGUGGGGGUUGGAAAGUUUCGGCGGUUGGGGAUGUACUCGCGGCUUAUCAGCUUGUUGGUGGGGUAGUGGCUUACCAAGGCUUUGACGGGUAGCCGUCCUGAGAGGGUGACCGGGCACAUUGGGACUGAGAUAGGGCCCAGAAUCCUACGGGAGGCAGCAGUGGGGAAUAUUGCACAGUGGGCGGAAGCCUGAUGCAGCAACGCCGCGAGCGGGAUGCCGGCCUUCGGGUUGUAAACCGCUUUCGCAUGUGACGAAGCGUGAGUGACGGUAAUGGGUAAGGAAGCACCGGCUAACUACGUG
rnacentral:rRNA from 1 species